rnacentral:tRNA from 1 species
UUUAUAAUAGUUUAACUAAAAACUUUUCAUUUUCAUUGAAAAAAUAUUUAAAUUUUAAAUUUAUAAAA